UGGGCACCGGGUUGGCCGAGGUGAACGUGCCGUUGAAGCCGGUACCGACGGUCGCGUUGGUGCCGAUGCUGCCGUUCCAGCUGGCGUUGGUCACC
rnacentral:tRNA from 1 species